rnacentral:rRNA from 1 species
CAAAUGGCGCUUCCGGGGUCUCCUCGGGAGCAGGUCUGUCCGAGCGUCUG